rnacentral:rRNA from 1 species
GAUCCUGGCUCAGGAUGAACGCUGGCGGCGUGCUUAACACAUGCAAGUCGAACGAAGCAACCAUGAAGCCUAGCGAUUGGUUGACUGAGUGGCGGACGGGUGAGUAACGCGUGGGUAACCUGCCUCAUACAGGGGGACAACAGUUAGAAAUGACUGCUAAUACCGCAUAACCCGCUAGGGCCGCAUGGCCCGGACGGAAAAGGAGCAAUCCGGUAUGAGAUGGACCCGCGUCUGAUUAG